UACGAAGGGGGCGAGCGUUGUUCGGAUUUACUGGGCGUAAAGGGCGCGCAGGCGGUCUUGAAAGUCAGGCGUGAAAGCCCCGGGCUUAACCUGGGAAUUGCGCUUGAUACUCUGAGACUGGAGUACGGGAGAGGAGAGUGGAAUUCCCAGUGUAGAGGUGAAAUUCGUAGAUAUUGGGAGGAACACCAGUGGCGAAGGCGGCUUCCUGGCCUGUUCUUGACGCUGAGGCGCGAAAGCUAGGGGAGCAAACGGG
rnacentral:rRNA from 1 species